CUGUCUGCUGUUCCGGGGGAGCGGGGCUGGGACCCGGGCUUCGAGGGGUGCCCCGCCGAGAGGCACGAGCGGAAGGGGAUCGUGGCUGCAAGAGGAAGGGGACGUGGAAUGGGGCGCGGCAACAUUUUCCAGAAGCGGCGAUAACUUCCGAUCAAACUGUGCUUUGGUGAACAGAAAACUGCUAAACUGUAACUUGUGUAUGCUUUAAUAAACAUGUUUCUUACAAAAUAGGGA